rnacentral:rRNA from 1 species
UACGUAGGAGGCGAGCGUUGUCCGGAAUCACUGGGCGUAAAGCGCGUGUAGGCGGGAAGGCAAGUCUGCUGUGAAAGCGCCUGGCUUAACCGGGCGAGGUCGGCGGAAACUACUUACCUGGAGGACGGUAGAGGGGGGUGGAAUUCCCGGUGUAGUGGUGAAAUGCGUAGAGAUCGGGAGGAACACCUGUGGCGAAGGCGGCCCCCUGGGCCGGCCCUGACGCUGAGGCGCGAAAGCUAGGGGAGCAAACGGG